UAUAAAGGAUUUUGAGUUUUUGUUUACAACGUUUGACCACUCGUCUUAUUCAAAAAAUUUUAGAAUUAUUAUUUAUUUUAUUUGUGACUUACUUUAUUAUCCACAGUACUUUAAGCACAACUUUUCAUUUUUAUAUUUGCAAAAAAAAAAUUGAAUAAGAUGAGUAGUCAAACGUUGUAAGCAAAAACUCAAAAUUCUCCUUAUA
rnacentral:pre_miRNA from 1 species